UACGAGGGGGGCUAGCGUUGUUCGGAAUUACUGGGCGUAAAGCGCACGUAGGCGGAUACUUAAGUUAGGGGUGAAAUCCCAGAGCUCAACUCUGGAACUGCCUCUAAUACUGGGUAUCUCGAGUUCGAGAGAGGUGAGUGGAAUUCCGAGUGUAGAGGUGAAAUUCGUAGAUAUUCGGAGGAACACCAGUGGCGAAGGCGGCUCGCUGGCUCGAUACUGACGCUGAGGCACGAAAGCGUGGGGAGCAAACAGG
rnacentral:rRNA from 1 species